CCUACGGGGGGCAGCAGUGGGGAAUAUUGGACAAUGGGGGCAACCCUGAUCCAGCCAUGCCGCGUGUGUGAAGAAGGCCCUCGGGUUGUAAAGCACUUUCAGUGAGGAAGAACGCCUGGUGGUUAAUACCCAUCAGGAAAGACAUCACUCACAGAAGAAGCACCGGCUAACUCCGUGCCAGCAGCCGCGGUAAUACGGAGGGUGCGAGCGUUAAUCGGAAUUACUGGGCGUAAAGCGCGCGUAGGUGACUUGAUAAGCCGGUUGUGAAAGCCCCGGGCUCAACCUGGGAACGGCAUCCGGAACUGUCAAGCUAGAGUGCAGGAGAGGAAGGUAGAAUUCCCGGUGUAGCGGUGAAAUGCGUAGAGAUCGGGAGGAAUACCAGUGGCGAAGGCGGCCUUCUGGACUGACACUGACACUGAGGUGCGAAAGCGUGGGUAGCAAACAGGGUUAGAUACCCGAGUAGUC
rnacentral:rRNA from 1 species